rnacentral:lncRNA from 1 species
GCGGCCUUUUUCUUAAUGAACUCAAUGCAAUCUGCUACAGCUUCACUGUGAUGAGGCUCAUAUGGGCUAUACCGUCUUUGCCGUUCUGAUCCUACCACAUCACCGGCGCCGCCGUGUCUGGUGGUGGUAGUGGUGGCUUUUGAAAGCGCAGAAUACAUCAUUAACCGCAGCACUGCCUCCCUGAAACGCUCUAACAAGGUCAUAGGCGUUGGACUUUUAUUCUUUGUGCUGCAUGAAUUGCUCUUGAACCUUGGCAUGCAUUGACCCUUCAACAUUUUUUCUCCACUUUCUUCUUAUUUUCCCCCUCUCUCUAUCUCUAUAUGAUUCUUCUAUGAACAUGUUCCUUAGAG